UUUAUUACGAAAAUUUAAAGUUAUCAAAACUAACAUCAUUAGUUUUCAAACAAAAAUACUUGUAUCAACUAAGAACAAAGAUUUUGUUAGUUUUAGCUUUAUUUAUAAAAAUUAUUAUUAUUCACCAGAAAGAUUAAACAAAACUUUCAAAUUUAUUAUAAUCAAAAGGUUAAUCCUUAUGGCAUUGCCAAAGGUCUUUAAAUACAUUAAAAAAAAAGAAAACCUAAUGAGUCUUAUGGACUUUUAAUCUUAAAC
rnacentral:lncRNA from 1 species